rnacentral:rRNA from 1 species
ACCCGCUGAACUUAAGCAUAUCAAUAAGCGGAGGAAAAGAAACCAACAGGGAUUGCCUCAGUAACGGCGAGUGAAGCGGCAACAGCUCAAAUUUGAAAUCUGGGUCUUUCAGGCUCCGAGUUGUAAUUUGUAGAGGGAUCUUCGGACGUGGUCCGGCCUAAGUUUCAUGGAACUGAACAUCAUAGAGGGUGAGAAUCCCGUAUGCGGCCGGGUGCCUAUAUCCAUGUGAAGUCUCUUCGACGAGUCGAGUUGUUUGGGAAUGCUGCUCAAAAUGGGUGGUAAAUUUCAUCUAAAGCUAAAUACCGGCGAGAGACCGAUAGCGCACAAGUAGAGUGAUCGAAAGAUGAAAAGCACUUUGGAAAGAGAGUUAAAAAGUACGUGAAAUUGUUGAAAGGGAAGCGCUUGCAAUCAGACUUGCCUUCAGCUUAUCAUCCGGUGUUCUCACCGGUGCACUAGGUUGUUGUCAGGCCAGCAUCGGUUUUGGCGGCUGGAUAAAGGCCUUGGGAAUGUGGCCCCUCUUGGGGGGUGUUAUAGCCCAGGGUGUAAUGCAGCCAGCUGGGACCGAGGACCGCGCUUCGGCUAGGAUGCUGGCGUAAUGGUUGUAAGCGACCCGUCUUGAAACACGG